rnacentral:rRNA from 1 species
CCGGGUGAGUAACACGUGACUAACCUGCCUUCGAGUGGGGGAUAACCUCGGGAAACCGGGGCUAAUACCGCAUAAUGCCUUCGGGUUAAAGGAGCAAUUCGCUUGAAGAGGGGGUCGCGGCUGAUUAGCUAGUUGGCGGGGUAAUGGCCCACCAAGGCGAUGAUCGGUAGCCGGCCUGAGAGGGCGCACGGCCACACUGGAACUGAAACACGGUCCAGACUCCUACGGGAGGCAGCAGUGGGGAAUUUUGCGCAAUGGGGGAAACCCUGACGCAGCAACGCCGCGUGGAGGAUGAAGUCCCUUGGGACGUAAACUCCUUUCGACCGGGACGAUAAUGACGGUACCGGUGGAAGAAGCCCCGGCUAACUUCGUGCCAGCAGCCGCGGUAAUACGAGGGGGGCAAGCGUUGUUCGGAAUUAUUGGGCGUAAAGGGCGCGUAGGCGGUGCGGUAAGUCACCUGUGAAACCUCUAGGCUUAACCUAGAGCCUGCAGGCGAAACUGCCGUGCUGGAGUGUGGGAGAGGUGCGUGGAAUUCCCGGUGUAGCGGUGAAAUGCGUAGA